UACAGGGGGGGCAAGCGUUGUUCGGAAUUACUGGGCGUAAAGGGCUCGUAGGCGGCCAACUAAGUCACACGUGAAAUCCCCAGGCUUAACCUGGGAACUGCGUGUGAUACUGGAUGGCUUGAAUCCGGGAGAGGGAUGCAGAAUUCCAGGUGUAGCGGUGAAAUGCGCAGAUAUCAGGAAGAACACCCGUGGCGAAGGCGGCUCUCUGGUACGUGACUGACGCUGAGACGCGAAAGCGUGGGGAGCGAACAGG
rnacentral:rRNA from 1 species